rfam:Picea glauca, whole genome shotgun sequence.
UAAAAGGCGUUCUUGAACGCCACCCAUUAUACUAGAUGACCCUUG